rnacentral:pre_miRNA from 1 species
GGGGGGAGUGCAAGAUCAUGGACUGUGUCCCCCGGCGCCCUGGGAUCCAGGGCCUGUGCUGCUGGAAUCGAGCUCCUGGGGCCACAGCUCCCG